ACCUGCUCAAGUCUGCUUCGGUAGUGUGGAAGCUUUGUUUUUUUACUUGUUGCAAUGAAACUUGCUGCUGCUCAGUUUUUGAUUUUGCACUGCCUUUAUGAGCUGUAAUCCUCACCGUGAAGGUCUGCAGCUUCACUCCUGAGGCAAGCAAGACCACGAAGCCAGUGGGAGGGAUAAACAACUCCGGACAGGAAAAAUGAACAAUUCCAGACGCGCCGCCUUAAGAACUGUAACACCCACUGGGAACGUCUGCAGCUUUGCUUCUGAAGCCAGCGAGACCAUGAAGCCACCAGAAGGAAGAAACGCCAAACCCGUCUGAACAUCAGAAGGAGAAAACUCCAGACACACCAUUUUUAAGAACUGUAACACUCACUGCGAGGGUCUGUGGCUUCAUUCUUGGAGUCAGUGAGACCAAGAACCCACCAAUUUCGGACAUGCUGGGAACAUAUCCUGGUAACUGUGUGUCCUUAUUUCUCAGCACAAUGCUUGCUACCUGAGAGGAGUGCAAUUAAAACAGCGACCACAAUAACAACCACUUGAAUGAAUGGAAGAAUGAUUACAUUAAUUUCUGCUGGGAAGGAUGUCAUGGGAAUUCUGCUUCUUGGCAAUUUUCACGGAUUGUAAAAUUAGCUUACCAACUUGCAUAAAAACUUCUGUAUGUUAUUGAAUAUCAUCAGUUUUAGCAAGCAUUCUUGUCUCAUUCCUGAUUUUAGAGGAAAUACUUGAACUUCUCACUCGAAAGGAACUAAAAUAAUUCUGAGUACUAGCAAGGACUAAGAUGAAGUUCAAUGUUAUGACUGCAAAGUGAAAUGAUCAGAAGUUUCAUGGCCAUGAGUACUGCUGCCUGGCCCGGGCAUGAGAAAUGAGUUUGCUCUAGACUGCAGAUUGUGAAGACGAGCUUUGCAAAAAUCUAACAUCUAGUGCAUUCUGACUAUGGAGAGGAUAUAAUUGAUGUAAGACUCCAAGAGAUUGCUGGUGAAUAGAUCUGUGGUUAGAUUUUAAACGAUGGAUUUAGAAAACAAUUCAAUGAGGUUAAAAUUAAUUUUAGUAAAUGUGAGGGAUAAGAGAAAGGAAGGCUGAGAUAAGCUGUUUUAUAAGAAAUAGUUAUGCUGAACAGAUCCAAGUUUUGCUGAGGUGAAGCAGAAACAAUAUGGCGAUUAGAAAGAACAGCGAGGUCAAGAUGUUACUGCAUUUUCAACCUGGGUAACUACGAGGUCAAUAUGUGAAUAAGUUAACAAUGUAUUGCUGAAGAAAUUAUGAAUAGAAUGGAGAGGAAACUGGGAAAGUAUAGAGUGUGGUUAUUUACUACAUGUUUUAGGUCACCAGUUAAAAUAAAUAAAGUUGACCUAGGUUUAAAAAGAAGGGAAAAUGUUAAACAAGGAUCAUUGUUGAGUAAUUGGAAUUAAGAGUUCACACAAAAAGCAGGCUGUCUCUUAAUCCUAGGGCAUGAAGAGCAGGGGAUAAAAGGAUGGUCUCUGUCAGAUAUUUCCAAGAAAAAGCAUUGUCAAUUUUAGGAUGUUUGCGUUUGGUAAAUGUAGAAAGCUAUCAUCCAUAGAUGCUAACACUGUUUUGGCAUAUAACAGAUUCUCAAAAUUUGUUAUUAUGUUAGUGAAAAGUUUAUAUAUUCAUAAGUAAGAAAUUUUCAAGAUUAACUAUAUCUAAUUUCGGUUUUCCUCUUCACCAUAUACACAGUCCCAUUGAAAGGAAACAUUGAGUAAUACAGAAAUUAGAAUUUAGGCUUCACAAAUUUUAGAAUUAAUUACACUGAUUUUCACAAUUUUACUGGUAAUAAUUGUAUCCUCACAUUAAUCCUGGUGGUACUGGGGUUCAUCAUCUUUAAACAUUAGGGGAUACCAUCUUUCUCAUGAAUCUAAAAAGUUCGUGGGAUUAUACUGAAAUGAGAGAAGGUCCCUUAUCAUCCUCACAGGGCAUGCGACAAGGAUGUGGCUUGCUUCUUUGGUGCCCCACUGCUCAAACUCCUUGGGGGAGCAUGCAGGCAGGUGAGUCAUGGGGAAUGUUACUAGGCUCCGACCCCAUGGCAGCAUCUAGAGGUGAAAUUUUAUAACUCCAGAAGCCCAAGUGAGCCUGUGUUACAGUGCACUCUUUCAGCUUAUCCGUCUGCACGUGGCUUGUGUUAAUCAGCUUGAUGACACCUUCUGCCUUAUUGCAAGAUCGGAGGGUUUUCUGUAUCCCAGGUUCUUGCCCUAGUGUACCAGAAAAAUUGGAUUACACGUGAACUUGGAGAAUGAGUGCAAGGUUUUACUGAGUGGUGGAGGUAGCUCUCAGUGAGUUGGAUGGGGAGCCAGAUGAGGGAUGGAGUGGGAAGGUAGUCUUCCCCUGGAGUUUGGCUGCCCAGCAGCUAGACUCUCCUCCAACUGCCCCUGGCCAAAUUCCCCUCGACAUCUGCAUCAUUCUGCCAUCGAUGGCCUGCCAGUGUCUGCUGGUGUUUGUGUGUCUGUCAGUGUGUUCUUCUGCUCCCCUCAACAUCCAGCCACUUGUGUGUAUCCUGAAUUUUUAUGGGCACAGGAUGGGGGCAUGGAGGACCAAAAGGCAACUUUUUGGGUGUGAAAACAGAAAUACCUGUUCUCAUUUAGGCCCACGGGUGCAGGCCUGAGGGUGGAGCCCUCCCCAGGGAACCUUCCUUUCUUUACUUAGCACCUCCCUGCCCCCUUCCCAUACCAUUUUCCCCCUCUGAAGAGGUACAUCUAAGUGCCUUUAGAAUAAGGACGAUGACCGGUCUUAACUACUUUUGCUGACUGGGGGCAUUGUUUUGGGGAAAACAGCAGUCAGAUUCCUCCAAAAGGUCCAUGUAAGGGUUCCUGGCAAAGGGGAGCCAUUGUCUGUGGCUCCAGUUGCAUGCCUGUUUGGAGUUUGAUGCCCUCUAAGUGAGAGAGAAACAAACAAGCUUUAUAAGGUUAAGUAUGCGUGAGUUAAACAUUUGUAUUAUACAAGUAAAGAAUUUAGUGCCAAAGAUUACAGAGAUAAGAAGUGAAAUAUAAACUAACAACGGCAUUGUACACCAAGCUGUUUCACCUUCAUGAAAGAAAUUAAACCUUACAUGGGAGCAGUUAAACUUUGGAAGAGAGAUAACUGUUCUUGCCAUAUCUUUAGCAGUUAACAGGUGUACCCUGGGAAUUCUGGGGUUUGUGGGCUUGCAUAGUGGCCAUUAAAGCUUCUGCCUCUUUCUUGUGUCUCCCUUUCUCUAUUGUAGAAGACUAAGGUAGCUACUCUCAGGAGACCCUCUAAUGUACUAUCUGGUCCCAGGGCCUGUUUUUAUAGCUUCCACUUGAUGUCAGGAGCUGCCUGAAGUAAUAAAUGUAACCUUUAGGAUUAGCUGUCCCUUGACUGAAUCAGGAGAUUGUGAGGUGUUUUACCAAGGACUCUCUUAGCCUUUCCAUGAAGGCAGUGGAAUUUUCAUUGUAUCCUUGGUCAAUGAUGAAUAACUUAGUAUAAUUGAAAGGCUUGGUUUUAGUCCUAUGUAAACCCUCCAUUGUGCACACCUAAAGGUGUCUCCUCUUCCAGGCUUCCAUCUUGUCACUGGGAUCCCUUUGACAGUCAUCCACUGGUACUGCUUCUCUUCCAGUUGGAUAAUUUUUGUCCCCUUCCCUGAUGCUAUAUGUGAUACGAAGCUCAUCCCCAAAUCUCUCUGCUGCUUGCAGAGUGGACUGCUUCUCAGCGUCCAUCUGGGUCUGAUUUAAACAUAACAUAAUGUCUCUCCAGGAGAGUUCAGAUAUUUUGGUGAAAUUCUGGAAGCCUCUAUAUAUCUACCAAGGUCAUCUGAAAACUUGCCAAGAUCCCCCUUAAUUUGCUUUAAGUCCUGUAGGGAGAAGGGGACCUGGACCUUUCUGGGCCCAAUUCACUCGGCAUCUGUUACAGGAGCAAGAGUGAGACUGGGCCUUGUGUAGGGCAAGGAUUUCUAGGAGGUGGCAAGUGAGAGGCUGAAGCUGGAUGGGGAGGUUGGGGUGGACCCAGAGGAGCAGGGCUGGAGGGAGCUGGCUCCUCUGCUGGGGAUGCCUCUGGGUCACGUAUCUUUGAAACCCUGGGCUUGCCAGUCCUACACUGGAUCAAACAGGAGGGCUGGAUCAAUCCUACACUGUCAGCAAAGGUCUGAAUUGCCUUACAAGGUAUAGAAAGCCUGCACAUAUGGGGCCUCAGACCAUCUGUCCUCAGAAAGUUCCAACUGCCAGAUGGUAUCAAAAUGAAUGGUUCCUUCCUGGGAAUAACACAGUCCUUUAUAAUUUGGCCCAAACUUUGUGCAGAGGGCUAUGAAGCAGUUUUUUCCUCCAGACUCUGAGGGUCAAAGCAGUCCCAAUGGUUCAGGAUACACUCCAGAGGGAUAUAAGCUGGGGGUGCUGAAGAGAGCUGCUUGUCCAUUCUGAAAGACAGUGAAUAGAGGUGUCCCUCAUUUCCUUCCUUCUUUCAGCAAAACCUCAGGGUGUGAUGGAGAGAGAAAAUAAGUGUCCUUCCUAUCCCUUCCAUCUUUUUAUCCUUGAGUCCCAGCAACCUCGGCAGGCUCUGCCCAUAGGUACCAAUGUGGUAUGUACCCAUGAAGCAGGGAAAAUUUAGAGAAUAGGAAUUAAUCGCCCUCACCCGUACCUCCAUUUUCCCCCGCUGUUGACAAACUUUCAGUUCCCUAAGCCUGGUUAUGCCAUGGAGCAUGGCCUCCUUCCAUGAGCUGGGGGGUUCAGUUGGUAAGAAUUGGUCCUGCCCAUUUACAUUGUGCCUGUUGCCUGGCUUUGGAUCCCUCAGACCUGGUCUUUCUUCCUAGGGCCUCAGCCUGAAGCUUGGAAUUGAGUUUGGGACUGGAAAGGUAUUUCGGAGCUGUUUGUAUCUGUUUAGAGUGUCUCAAAUGAGCCUUGCCAAAUUUGCAGUCAUCAGUAAGCAGGGGCUGCUACUCUGUUAGCUUCCCUAUCAACAGCAGGGAGUGCUGGUAGUUCUCUCCCACCCCCCUUCCUUGUGACUGUUGGGCAUGGCCUUUGACUGCUGUGGGCAUGCCCAGGUGCCUGAGCGGAAGAGGAGAGGUUUGGAGGGGGUGCCCUGAGCUGGGUGUGCCUGCAGCUGUCAGGGUGGAGGCAGAGAUGGUACCUCCAAGAACAGUGACUCUGAUCUUCACCCUUCACGACUGAGCCAAAUGCCCAUUUUACUUAGUAACAUUGCCACAGCCUCUAGCAAAACCCUUAACAUUAUAAAGGAAGAGAUAAGAGCCUUUUCA
rnacentral:lncRNA from 1 species